GAAUAUUGGACAAUGGGGGAAACCCUGAUCCAGCGACGCCGCGUGUGUGAAGAAGGCCUGCGGGUUGUAAAGCACUUUCGAUGGGAACGAAAUAUGCCGGGCUAAUACCCCGGUAGGCCGACGUUCCUCAAUGAAGAAGCACCGGCUAACUCUGUGCCAGCAGCCGCGGUAAGACAGAGGGUGCGAGCGUUAAUCGGAAUUACUGGGCGUAAAGCGCACGUAGUUGGCGACGUAAGUCGGGUGUGAAAGCCCCGGGCUCAACCUGGGAACCGCAUUCGAGACUGUGUUGCUGGAGUACGGAAGAGGAGGGCGGAAUUCCCGGUGUAGCGGUGAAAUGCGUAGAUAUCGGGAGGAACAUCAGUGGCGAAGGCGGCCCUCUGGUCCAGUACUGACACUCAAGUGCGAAAGCGUGGGGAGCAAACAGG
rnacentral:rRNA from 1 species